rnacentral:rRNA from 1 species
AUUGAACGCUGGCGGCAGGCCUAACACAUGCAAGUCGAACGAGUGGCGGACGGGUGAGUAAUGUCUGGGAAACUGCCCGAUGGAGGGGGAUAACUACUGGAAAAGGUAGCUAAUACCGCAUACCAUCGGAUGUGCCCAGAUGGGAUUAGCGUGUAGGUGAGGUAACGGCUCACAUAGGCGACUAGCCCUUGCUGGUCUGAGAGGAUGACCAGCAAACCUGGAACGGAGACACGCUCCAGACUCCUACGGGAGGCAGCAGUGGGGAAUAUUGCACAAUGGGCGAAAGCCUGAUGCAGCCAUGCCGGGUGUAUGAAGAAGGUCUUCGGGUUGUAAAGUACUUUCAGCGGGGAGGCGUUACCCGAAGAAGAAGCACCGGCUAACUCCGUGCCAGCAGCCGCGGUAAUUC